AAUCAGAGAUGUGCAAUCACAGAAUGGGUAGGGUUGGAAGGGACCACAGGGGGUCAUCUGCUCCAACCUCCCUGUUCAAGCAGGGCCAUCCUAGAGCACAUAGCACAGGAUUGUGUCCUGACAGUUCUUGAAUAUGUCCAGUGAGGGAGAGUCCACAACCUCUCUGGACAACCUGUUCCAGUGCAUGGUCACCCACACUAGUAAAGAAUUCUUCCUCGUGUUCAGGUGGAACUUUCUGUGCAUCAGUUUCUGUCCACUGCCUCACAUCCUAGUGCUAGGUACCACCGAGAGGAACCUGGCUCCAUCUCUUCCCCCCUCACCCCCCCACUUAAGACAUUUAUACACAUUAAUGAGGUCCCCUCUCAGUAGUCUCUUCUCGAGGCUGAACAGGCCCAAGUCCCUCAGCCUUUCCUCCUA